rnacentral:rRNA from 1 species
UGGCGGACGGGUGAGUAAUGUCUGGGAAACUGCCUGAUGGAGGGGGGAUAACUACUGGAAACGGUAGCUAAUACCGCAUAACGUCGCAAGACCAAAGAGGGGGACCUUCGGGCCUCUUGCCAUCGGAUGUGCCCAGAUGGGAUUAGCUAGUAGGUGGGGUAACGGCUCACCUAGGCGACGAUCCCUAGCUGGUCUGAGAGGAUGACCAGCCACACUGGAACUGAGACACGGUCCAGACUCCUACGGGGGCAGCAUG